rnacentral:rRNA from 1 species
GAUGAACGCUGGCGGCGUGCCUAAUACAUGCAAGUCGAGCGAACGGACGAGAAGCUUGCUUCUCUGAUGUUAGCGGCGGACGGGUGAGUAACACGUGGAUAACCUACCUAUAAGACUGGGAUAACUUCGGGAAACCGUAGCUAAUACCGGAUAAUAUUUUGAACCGCAUGGUUCAAAAGUGAAAGACGGUCUUGCUGUCACUUAUAGAUGGAUCCGCGCUGCAUUAGCUAGUUGGUAAGGUAACGGCUUACCAAGGCAACGAUGCAUAGCCGACCUGAGAGGGUGAUCGGCCACACUGGAACUGAGACACGGUCCAGACUCCUACGGGAGGCAGCAGUAGGGACUCUUCCGCAAUGGGCGAAAGCCUGACGGAGCAACUCCGCGUGAGUGAUGAGGGUCUUCGGAUCGUAAAACUCUGUUAUUAGGGAAGAACAUAUGUGUAAGUAACUGUGCACAUCUUGACGGUACCUAAUCAGAAAGCCACGGCUAACUACGUG